CACGCCCCACCGGAUAGAGAACAAGGGUUUUGGAUUACUUCCCCCAACAUCUCCCCCUUUCAAUGUGAAGCAGUUUGGAGAUGUCAUUGCCCAUUUUUCUGUAGAAACGGAUAGUGGGGAAAUGUAAUGGUAGUCCACUUUAUGCUUUGAAUAUUCCCCUUGCUGCCCUGCCAGUGCAAAUUGUUAUUUUUUAAAAUAUUUUUUAGACGUUGAUGGAGCUUUAUUUUUAUUUUAUUCAUUUAUAUGUGGUGCUGAGAGUUGAACCCAGUGCCUCACACUUGCUAUGCAAGUGCUGUACCACUGAGCCACAACCCCAGCCUGCAAAUUAUUUUUAAAAUGGACAUUUCUUUCUCUUCUUCUCUCCCUGAUCCUCCUUAAUCUCUCCAGCCUUGCCUAAUCUCAAGGGAAACAGGAUUACCUUUCUUCCCCAUCCUAGGCAGUUAUCUGUCCCUGAGUACACACCUACCAUAGGAAGGAAGUAAUCCAGACUUUGGGGAUGGUACCAGAAAAUCUCAGAAAUGACUGUCUCCCAGAUUAACAAGUUAGUGAAUUACA
rnacentral:lncRNA from 1 species